GGGGCUAUACAUGCAGUCGAGCGGACAGAAGGGAGCUUGCUCCCGGAUGUUAGCGGCGGACGGGUGAGUAACACGUGGGUAACCUGCCUGUAAGACUGGGAUAACUCCGGGAAACCGGAGCUAAUACCGGAUAGUUCCUUGAACCGCAUGGUUCAAGGAUGAAAGACGGUUUCGGCUGUCACUUACAGAUGGACCCGCGGCGCAUUAGCUAGUUGGUGGGGUAAUGGCUCACCAAGGCGACGAUGCGUAGCCGACCUGAGAGGGUGAUCGGCCACACUGGGACUGAGACACGGCCCAGACUCCUACGGGAGGCAGCAGUAGGGAAUCUUCCGCAAUGGACGAAAGUCUGACGGAGCAACGCCGCGUGAGUGAUGAAGGUUUUCGGAUCGUAAAGCUCUGUUGUUAGGGAAGAACAAGUGCGAGAGUAACUGCUCGCACCUUGACGGUACCUAACCAGAAAGCCACGGCUAACUACGUGCCAGCAGCCGCGGUAAUACGUAGGUGGCAAGCGUUGUCCGGAAUUAUUGGGCGUAAAGGGCUCGCAGGCGGUUUCUUAAGUCUGAUGUGAAAGCCCCCGGCUCAACCGGGGAGGGUCAUUGGAAACUGGGAAACUUGAGUGCAGAAGAGGAGAGUGGAAUUCCACGUGUAGCGGUGAAAUGCGUAAAGAUGUGGAGGAACACCAGUGGCGAAGGCGACUCUCUGGUCUGUAACUGACGCUAAGGAGCGAAAGCGUGGGGAGCGAACAGGAUUAGAUACCCUGGUAGUCCACGCCGUAGACAAUGAGUGCUAAGUGUUAGGGGGUUUCCGCCCCUUAUUGCUGCAGCUAACGCAUUAAGCACUCCCCCUGGGGAGUACGGUCGCAAGACUGAAACUCAAAGGAAUUGACGGGGGCCCGCACAACCGGUGGAGCAUGUGGUUUAAUUCAAACCAACGCCAAAAACCUUACCAGGUCUUGACAUCCUCUGACACCCCUAGAAAUAGGGCUUUCCCUUCCCGGACCAAUGACAAU
rnacentral:rRNA from 1 species